GCGUCCCACCAUGAGGACGAGCGGCAGACCGCUCAGUAACACGUAGCUAACCUACCCUCAGGACGUGGAUACCCCCGGGAAACUGGGGUUAAUCCGCGAUAGGUGUGGAGGCCUGGAAUGGUUCCACGCCCAAAGGCACAGCGAUCAUGUUUGUUGUGUGCCUGAGGAUGGGGCUGCGGCCGAUCAGGCAGUUGGCGAGGUAACGGCUCACCAAACCUUUGACCGGUACGGGCCAUGAAAGUGGUAGCCCGGAGAUGGGCACUGAGACAGGGGCCCAGGCCCUACGGGGCGCAGCAGGCGCGAAACCUCCACAAUGUACGUAAGUACGAUGGGGUUAUCUCGAGUGCAGUCCGAUAAGGGUUGCUUUUCCAUAGAGUAAUAUCCUGUGGGAAUAAGAGGGGGGCAAGACUGGUGUCAGCCGCCGCGGUAACACCAGCCCCUCGAGUGGUGGGGACUAUUAUUUGGCCUAAAGCGUCCGUAGCUGGCUGUAUCCGUCCCCCGUUAAAUCCAGCGUCCUAAGCGUUGGACCGCGGGUGAUACCAUACAGCUAGAGGGUGGGAUAGGUGAGCGGUAUUUNUGGGGUAGGGGCGAAAUCCAUUGAUCCCAGGAGGACCACCAGUGGCGAAGGCUGCUUACUAGAACACGCCUGACGGUCAGGGACGAAAGCUGGGGCAGCGAACCGGAUUAGAUACCCGUGUAGUCCCAGCUGUAAACGAUGCUAGCUAGGUGUUGGGUCGGCCACGCGCCGCCCCAGUGCCGCAGGGAAGCCGUUAAGCUAGCCGCCUGGGGAGUACGGCCGCAAGGCUGAAACUUAAAGGAAUUGGCGGGGGAGCACCACCAGGCGUGAAGCCUGCGGUUUAAUUGGAUUCAACGCCGGGA
rnacentral:rRNA from 1 species